rnacentral:misc_RNA from 1 species
GAAAUGCGAUAACUAAUGUGAAUUGCAGAAUUCAGUGAAUCAUCGAGUCUUUGAACGCACAUUGCGCCCUCUGGUAUUCCGGAGGGCAUGCCUGUCCGAGCGUCAUUGCUGCCCUCAAGCACGGCUUGUGUGUUGGGCCCCGUCCCCCCGCUCCGGGGGGGACGGGCCCGAAAGGCAGCGGCGGCACCGCGUCCGGUCCUCGAGCGUAUGGGGCUUCGUCACCCGCUCUUGUAGGCCCGGCCGGCGCCAGCCGACCCCCAACCUUUUAUUUUUUCUCAGGUUGACCUCGGAUCAGGUAGGGAUACCCGCUGAACUUAAGC